AGUUAAAGGAGAGGAGGAGAUACCUCGAUCCGAUCGCGCACGCCUCUCCGAUCUCCGCGUCGAUCUUUUUCCCGGUUGGUAUUACCAACCGGGACUAUAAAUAGAUCUUUAGUCCCGGUUGGUGAGUAGAGCGUAUGGCGAUCUUUUUUUCCGAUUGGUGUUAUCAACCGGGACUACAAAUAUAUCUUUAGUCCCGGUUGGUAACACCAACCGGUACUAAAGUUUGAAAAGUACCCUGUAGCUUUUAAACCAGGUGUUUUUAGUCCCUGUUUUUAAUACAACCGGGACUAUUUGUGAAAUCUGGUCGACCCACCAAAUAUGGUUUCUUCACUAGUGUUUAAUGGGAUGACUCUCUGUAAUAGCUGCACCAUUUCUAUAAUAGAAAUGGAGGGCUUUGCCCCUUUGCUUAAAAGAAAAACAACAUCAUACAAAUAAACACGGAAGGAGUACUAGCUUUUACAAACUUCUUGAAAAACGUAAGAUUCUCAAUUCUCAAAACACGAGAAUAAAUAAAACACCUGAUUUAAAAUAUUAUGGUCCUUGGAUUCUAAAAGAAUGAAAACCAUAGGAGAACUACGUACAUAGAAAACAGUUUGAGUGAAGCACAAGAAAAUCACGGAAUUUGGAAGAGAGGUAGACAAAAAAUCCCAAGAGGUUACAGCACAUGCUAAGAAUUCUCCAAAAUUUUCAUGAUACAUGCCAAUCUAUAUAUAGGAAUUUUUAAAGGAAUUUUAGGAACUCAAUUCUUUAUCUUGUAGGAAUUUUUUUCUAUAGGAUUUUAAAUCCUUUGAAAUUUCUGUAUUUUUUCCCCCGAAGGAAUCCUAAAGUUCAUCUGGUUGGUUACAGUAGUCCUCACUCACAAGAUGAUUUGAUGCGGAGACCGUGUCGCAAAUUGACCACUGCACGGCCGCGCCGCCCUGAUCCGGUCAGAGAGCUCUUCGCGCUGAGGAGUGAGGACGACUUUGACAGCGUCCAUCGCCGCGACGCCGCCUCUUUCGUGUUAGUUUUGUUCUUUUUCCCCCCAUUGAUGUACGGAGUAGGCCCUUCAAAAGUUGCAGAUUCUCCUUUUCGUUUGGGUUCGUAUGCUCACAUGGUGAUUGGACACCACCACCGUUUUUUGUCAAGUGAGAAAGUGAGAUGAGCAGAGCAAAAUGAGUUUUUGGCGAAACCUUCUUCCGUUUGAACGUCCCCCUGAUGCUUGAUUGUCCCUUGCCAAGAACUGCUCCUAGUGCGAUGACAUGUGACAUGUCUGCCUGUAAAACUCCAGUGAAACUCCGUGUGUUUCACCCAGAUGAGUUUGUUCUAGGUUCCAAACUUAACAAACGAACUUUAGCUGCCUGUCUGUAAGCUAAAGUGAACUAGUACGAUGCUACUACUUGGAUCUCUGAAAAAAUACACAUGCUUUGUCAUACUAUAUGUCUUCUGAGCUGUCUGCGUCCUAGGUGGUGCCAUGGUGCAGUGGGGUGUGCUUGUGGUGGGGAAAGAUGGCUGCCGCUCUCGUCCUGACCAUUUGCUUUACUAAAUACCUUAAUCUAGGAGGAGAGACCACUUCUUCAGGUCAACCACUGGCUGCUGCUCAAUCGAGCUUUCCCCUAGCUCUCGCCUCUCCAUGUUCCGGGGUCGCCAAUCUGCGAGCUCGGUUGCAGAUUUGGAGCCGGUUUCCAUGGCCGGAGCUAUAGCUGAGCUGACCGUGCGUGCCCUGCAGCCGUUACGUGUGCAGACAUUUCAGAGCAUUAGCGUUUUCAUCUUAUAUCUCGUCUGAUGUCUGGAAAGCACUCAUUCCUAUGGAAAUUAAGCAUUUUUUGUGGUUAGAGGUUGGAGAGAAAGAAUUCAGUCUACGUUGUUGAGAAUUGGAUUGGGUAAGAUCUUUGUGCUGUAUGUGCUUCGCAUGAUGAUGCAGUACAUAUUCUCUUUAGAUUUCCCACUGCCAAAUUCAGUUGGUGCAUUCGCAGAGAUGAUUUGAGGUGGAUCAAACUACAUGAAGCUGUCAAUGAAUUCCGCUCUUCACACAAUGGCUUAGGAUGAUUCUUGAAUGGCAUUAUGCUGACCCUAAUCCUACUCAUCGUCUAAGAAAUUUGGAAAGAGAGAAAUCAGUCAUCAAUCCAGGCGUCUGUGAAGAGUUGGUUGAUCAGAUCCACUGAAAUGGGUGCUGCCAUUUAAGUCCAGAUCAUCAAUCCAAAAUCAAGUGUCGUUUUCGAUUCCUUCAUUUUUUUUUCCUUUUCAUUUUUUUAUCGGAUGUCUCCGAAGAGACCCUUUUUUAUUUUUUUGAGACUGCAUAGAAAAUGUCAUUGGUCAGAAGCUACUCGAUCCAUUGUUCUUCACCAUAUCCUAGUACCAAUCAAAUUUGUUCUAGUGUUACAAAAUGCUCUAGACAUGGUUACUGCGGUCCCCAUAAUAAGCCAAAACGGCUUAUUAGGAAAUAAAAAUGAAUUUGUACGUGAAACUUUUAUAAAUGUGUUCUUGGUGACUUAAAAGCCAAUGUUGUAAAAGAAACUACGUUAAAAAUAUCUCAAAAUUAAGUUUGAAAAUUCAAAAUUUGGCUUUUUCUUUGGCUGAUUAGGCCAUCCGAUGGAAGCCUACAAUGGGUUUGCAAGUUGAUGCCAAUUGAAAUAUGAUAUGCUUUAUGAAAGCCAUUUUCAUCGGAUUGUUUGCAUUCUCUUGUGAACUUCCAGCGUAAUAUGCGAUGGUCCGAGUCUGACUGUCUUAUUGCAAGAGCAGGAAGGGUGAAUGCAAUGUGUGAUUCAUACUGCCGAACAGUGUCCUUGCUGAAGAAACAGAGGAAUCAAACAUCAUAUACUCCUUCAGUUGUUGCCACAAUGCAGCGAUAUUCUACUGCUCAAUAGUAAAAUUUUACCUUCUAGCAAUUUCUUGGAAUGUGCUGGUCAUGAUGUGAAGUCUGUGUGUCAUGGCAUGAUCAGCAGUUAAUUGGCACGAAAAAUGGUAUAUUUGGCCUGCAUUUCCCUCAUAAUUUCGUUUGCAACAUCCUGCAGCAAAAAAAGAAAGAAAAAAAGAAAGAUGAAUUCUGAAUGGAACACGAAGAAUGUCAGUGUGCUCAGUUCCAAUAACCUUCUCCAGCCACUGGCUGCAUGUAGUCCCAAUAACAUCAGGCAACAACCUGGUUACCUGCAUCAAGUAAAAUCAUGUCUGCACAUUACUCUAUAAUUCAUAUGUACACUCUGAAUUCUGUCAUUCAGCAUCAUGGUCUGUAACAGAAAACAAUAUAUUAUGAUUGAGGAAA